CAGUCGCCGCGGUAAUACGGAGGGCGCGAGCGUUACCCGGAUUUACUGGGCGUAAAGGGCGUGUAGGCGGCCUGGGGCGUCCCAUGUGAAAGGCCACGGCUCAACCGUGGAGGAGCGUGGGAUACGCUCAGGCUAGAGGGUGGGAGAGGGUGGUGGAAUUCCCGGAGUAGCGGUGAAAUGCGCAGAUACCGGGAGGAACGCCGAUGGCGAAGGCGGCGACCUGGUCCACUUCUGACGCUGAGGCGCGAAAGCGUGGGGAGCAAACCGGAUUAGAUACCCGGGUAGUCCCUGUCUCUUAUAC
rnacentral:rRNA from 1 species